rnacentral:rRNA from 1 species
UGGGUUUAAAGGGAGCGUAGGCGGAUUAUUAAGUCAGUGGUGAAAGACGGUGGCUCAACCAUCGUUAGCCAUUGAAACUGGUAGUCUUGAGUGCAGACAGGGAUGCUGGAACUCGUGGUGUAGCGGUGAAAUGCUUAGAUAUCACGAUGAACUCCGAUCGCGAAGGCAGGUGUCCGGGCUGCAACUGACGCUGAGGCUCGAAAGUGUGGGUAUCAAACAGGAUUAGAUACCCUGGUAGUCCACACAGUAAACGAUGUAUACUCGCGGUUUGCGAUAUAAUGUAAGCCGCCAAGCGAAAGCAUUAAGUAUACCACCUGGGGAGUACGCCGGCAACGGUGAAACUCAAAGGAAUUGACGGGGGCCCGCACAAGCGGAGGAACAUGUGGUUUAAUUCGAUGAUACGCGAGGAACCUUACCCGGGCUUGAACUAAGAGUGACAGAUUUAGAGAUAGAUCUUUCUUCGGACACUCUUGGAGGUGCUGCAUGGUUGUCGUCAGCUCGUGUCGUG